GGGACCCCUGAAGAGGGAGGCAAAAACACCCCCCAAAAUGGGACAAUGACACCCCCAAAAUGGGGGCAGGGACCCUUGAAAAGGGGGGCAAAACCACCCCCAAAAUGGGGGCAGGGACGACCCCAAAAUGGGACAAUGACACCCCCAAAAUGGGGACAUGGAUGCCUGAAAAGGAGGACAAAAACCACCCCAGAAUGGGGGAAAAAUACCCCUAAAAUGGGACAAUGACACCCCUAAAAUGGGGGCAAAAAUACCCCUAAAAGAGGGACAAAAACACCCCCAAAAUGGGGGCAGGGACCCUUGAAAAUGGGGACAAAAACAGCCCCAAAAUGGGGAAAAGGACCCCUGAAAAUGGUGACAAAAACACCCCUAAAAUGGGAACAAAAACAUCCCUAAAAUGGGGACAGGGACCUCUGAAAAGGGGGACAAAAACACCUCCAAAAUGGGGACAAAACCACCCCCAAAAGGGGGACAGGGACGGCCCCAAAAUGGGACAAUGACACCCCCGAAAUGGGGACAAAAACACCCCCAAAAUGGGGAAAAGGACCCCUGAAAACGGUGACAAAAACACCCCUAAAAGGGGGACAAAACCACACCCAAAAUGGGGACAAAGACCCCCCAAAGUGGGGACAAGGACAACGAGCUCUGGUGGCUCCGGGGCGUGGCCCUGCUGGGGGACACGGAGGUGACACGGAGCUGGGACAGUGACACGGAGCUGGGACAGUGACACGGGUGUCACACGGAUGUCACACGGAUGUGACGGUGACACGGAGCUGGGACUGUGACACGGAUGUCACACGGAUGUGACAUGGAUGUGACGGUGACACGGAGCUGGGACAGUGACAUGGGUGUCACACGGAUGUCACACGGAUGUGACGGUGACACAGAGCUGGGACAGUGACACAGAUGUCAUACGGAUGUGACGGUGACACGGAGCUGGGACAGUGACACGGAUCUGGGACAGUGACACGGAUGUCACACGG